ensembl:lncRNA
AUGAUACCAUCCAACCAUCUCAUCCUCUGUCAUCCCCUUCUCCUUCUGCCCUCAAUCUUUUCCAGCAUCAGGAUCUUUUCCAAUGAGUCGGCUCUUUACAUCAGGUGGCCAGAGUAUUGGAGCUUCAGCAUCAGCAUCAGUCUUUCCAAUGAAUAUUCAGUAUCAACACCAGUCUUGAAAAGGCAGCCCGUUUUUGGACAGCAGAAAGAAUUUCAACCACCUAGGUACUCCAGUCUAUUUGGAUGCAGGAAAUAACACCAAAGAGCAAGCCCUGAGGACUAUGUGGAAUGAUGACAAACUCAAUUGCACACAGGUGUAGAGGACACAGUGAGUAGCUGUUGGGCUGACAAUAUUAGCAUCAGCUAUGUAAGCAUAAUUAUUGGUCAAGGGCAGAUUGUUGUAAAACAGCUAAUAAACAGGAAGCAUUAACUUCCCUCGCACAGGGCCUUUGCAAAACCAAUAUUAGGCCUAUGUGUUCUGUACAUGUAUUUUCUCUGAAGCCAAUUAACCUCUUUAUUGGAAAACAAGAGCUUCGUUAUUGUUGAAUGUGGCAGCUAAUCCUUCACAGUAGAUAACUUUCAUUGAGCAUGAGUGGAAUGAGUUGUGUUUACUUCACUGACUGACAUUCCCACACAAUUAAAAGAAAGAUUAAUUGUUUAAUUUCCUCUACAUUGGUGCUAGUGAAGGCUAGGAGAUCCAUAAAACUAAAAACUAUAGUUUUUCAUUCACCCAAGGCCAAGGGAGCUGUGGAAAUUUAUUUUUGGACAGUAUAUAUCUUUUUAUUAUCCUGGCCAUGUAAGGAUGGGUGAGGGCUUUGGGUAUCUUUGUAGAAUCAAUUUUUAUUAUAUUUCUUCCAUAUAACUUUGAAGGUUCAGACCAAGAUAAGAUAUGAGCCUAUAGAUUUGUCAAAUUACUUUGAUGUUUCAGACCUCAACGUUUUGGCUGACACAUGUAAGAUAACACAUGUAAGAUGCCAACAGAAAAGAAUAAUGAAAAUAUAGGCAAUGACUACUUUAGUAGACCCACCAAACUGGACAUGUAUUUCAUAAUUACAACUUGUACUAUUAAAGUGAGUCCACCCAAGGUUGCAGGAAGAAAUUUCAUGAGCCAAGGUAUGAAGUCAUUGACCUUGCUGAAUUUACUUGGAACCCAAGUAAAAGACUCAAAAAUCAGGAUGUGAAAGCAUGAGGAUAGCAGCUCUCUGUGUGUGAGUUUGUGUGUGUGUAUGUGUGUACUGCAUUACUUUUGUUAUUUUAUAUUCAUAUUCCAUCAUCUGACCCUUGUCUUCAGUUCCUCCAAUCUUUUAUAUUCCUUAGCUCUAAUGCCCCAUUUCUUCUGUCUUAACUCUCUUCUGUAUAUAUCCAAGUUAAAGUCUAUUCAUCUCUAGUUCACUCCUACAGUUGAAAUAUAUUUCCCCCCCCUGAUUUUUGAAAGCUGCUCCAGUGCCUGAAGUUGUAGAGAUAUAAAUAUCCAAGCUUGGCCCCUAGAUCAGUGUUGUUCAAUAAAAGAUAAAGUGAGCUAUGUCAUUUUAAAUUAAAUUAUAAUUUGAAAUUUUCUAAUAGCCAGGUUAAACAGUGAAACAAAUUCAUUUUAAUUAUAUUUGUAUUUAUCCAAUGUAUCCAAAUGAUUAUAAUUUCAACAUGUAAUCAAAAUAAAAGUAUUAUUGUGAUAUUUUUACAUUUUUGGGGAUUUGAAAUUCUGCAUGUAUUUCACAUUUACAGUAUAUCUCAGUUCAGAUCAGCGCCACUUGAAACGCUCAGUAGCCACAUGUGACAAGGAACUUAAAUCAUCAGAAGAUAAACUUUAUAUAUACACAAAGGUCUUAAUUUUUGCCAUGAAUGUGAAAUGCUGUUUACAAAAAUAAUAUUAUGCAUUUUUAGACCCAGGGAAGAUUCAUCUUCAUCAGUGUUCACCAAGAACUUCACAUUAUUUGUUGAACUACUGACAAUCUGAAAAAGGUCAUGAACUCUUUUUAAUCUUAUCAUUUCUUGUUAAAAUUUUAAAAACUUUCAACUGGGUGGGCACAACUACAUCUUUUUUUCUUCAUUCAUUUUUGGGUGAGGGGUGUAUGGGAGAGCACAUUGAAGCUACUUUAUCUGAAUCACUUCCUUAGAAAGACCCCUUGCACACAUCUUCUCAUUUGUAGUCUUGCAGGAAAACCAAAGGACUUGGAUAAUUCAGCCUGAAAAAUGCAGCUUUCACCAUUUUUAUUAUGCUUUCCAUUAUGGUUUAAUAAAAUUAUAGCUUUGGCUUUCCUUAGCAUGUUAUGGUAUCUCUAAAAUACUUGUGAUGUCUGUACCCUACCCUCCGUUUAAAGCUUUCCUCUGCCUCCUGAGAAGAGAUAUGCACAAUACGCUUUAUUAGUCAGAAAACCCACGGGAUAGCUUCUCUUUCAAGUACUUUCAAAAUCUCCUGUGUUUGUUCUGCCAAUUCUGGCUGCCUUUAUCAAGUGAAAGAACAUAAUUCUCAUUGUCAACUUUAUGAUCUAAAUCACAGAACAAGCUCUAAAAUGGGCUUAUCAAAGGCAGCUCAUACUAUCUGCUAGGGCACAAGUUACACAAACUGUAAGGAAAUAGAGGAACUCCCAUUAAAGGAAGGGGCUUCCCAGGUGUCUCAGUGGUAAAAAUCUGCCUGCAAUGCAGGAGACAUGGGUUCAGUCUCUGGGUCUGGAAGAUCCCUGGAGAAGGAAAUGGCAACCCCCUCCAGUAUUGUUGCCUAGAGAAUCCCGUGGCCAGAGGAGCCGGAUUGAGCAUGCAAGCCCA